rnacentral:misc_RNA from 1 species
GUGGCAUCUGGAAUUUCUUCAGGUAGAAUAUAACUACUCCAAGUCUUUUCCCUUCAUUUUCUUAAAAAUUAACUGCUACCCACCAACUAGAAUACUGACUGGUUAUAAAAGGAAGAACUUAUAUUGAAGUAACUCAAAAUUCAAUGGUGGGUAGUCUAAUUUCCUUAGUCUAGGUGGGGAGGUUGGAGUGGCUUAUGCACUCCAUCAUUGAAAAUAAAUAAAUAAAUAAAACGAAAGGAUAGUGGGACGAAGCAGACAUCGACAAAGGAGUUUAAGAGAGAGGUGUUUUGGAAACAUCGAAAAU